GGGGUUGUAGCUCAGUGGUAGAGCGCUCACCUAGCAUGUGUGAGACCCUGGGUUCGAUCCUCUGCACCACA
rnacentral:tRNA from 1 species